rnacentral:lncRNA from 1 species
GACUUUCCUCCAUUUUAGAAUUUUGGAGAUCCAAGUUUAGAGAGAGAAAGUCUAGAGAGAGAGAAAGUGGUUGUAAACGUGGUUUUUGUACCAUACACGUCGUAUCUUUCAAUAAAAUCACGUUAGUAGUACGUUAUUGUGUGUUCGGUCACGCACGUUCACGGAUUCCGCACGUGAAACGUUCGUUACGCAAUCGAACGGCAUCAAAACCGGUCCUACAAUUAGUAUCAGAGCUAGGAGCUCGAUUGCUUGAUCAAACACAUCGUUUCCGUACCAGAUUUCAGCCGAUUCAGAUCCGAUUUCAUCUAUUUCUUCAUCUUCUACCUAUUUUUCACAUUUUUUACUGUUUUUCGUCAAAUCGAACAGGUUUUCACGGUCCGUUUUAGCUGAAUUUUGGAUAUGUUGUGCGUAUAUACCUGAUCUACAACCCUACCAAGUUUCAGAUCGAAACUCCAAGCCGUUUAGGAGAAAUCGAGGUUUUUCGGGUCGAAUUCGCGUCAUACGAUCAGACAGGUUCGCUUUUACGAACCAAACAGGUUCGCUCAUUUGGUUUAAAAGCAGGUUCGCUCAUAAAGAACUUGAGGUUCGCUCAUAGGGUAAAAGAAAUUCAGGUCCGCUUAUAAGUUUGUGUGUUGGUUCGCUUAUAGAUCACCAAUUAGAUCCGCUUAUGUGACACACUAGGUUCGCUCCAAAUGACAUAAAGGGUCCGCUCAAAAGGUUUGAUUUUGGUUCGCUUUUGUGUCAUCGUUGUCAGCGGAACAGGUAAAUUGCAGGUGAGUUGAUAAAACAUUGUCGGCAUUAAUUGACUGCAUGUGACUAGAUAAGUUCAAAACAAUCGGCCCAAUCACCUUUAAAAAGUUUACAUCUAUUGUCGGCCACAAUCAAUCCAUGUGUUUGCUUGAAAGUCUUUGUUAUUGGCCCAUACAUUGACUGCCAGCUCAUUAUCAUUUUGUUUGACAUAAAGUGGCCCAAUCAUGUUGUGUUUUAGUUGAUAUUGGCAGCUCAUGAUUGGAUGAGAUUAAGGCCCAAUCACUGUUAUGAUUAACCGAUUAAUGUAAAAAAAUUGCAAGUUGGUAUUUUGUUUCAACGUAGUUUCAGAUCUGAAAAUGAUAGACAAGGGGUUGUUGGUUGGGCUGGAUAAAGAUUAUGUUUGUUUGAUUCGAAACUAUCGGUGUUGUUUGGCGAAAUAAGAACAGAUUUUUUUAAGCUGAAUCGGAAGUUGGUUGUUGUUGUUUGAUCGGAUUGAAAUUUAGCUGAAUCUGAGUUGUUUUUUCGGACAAAGAAUCGUUUCAAUUUUUGCCGAUAUCAGAUGCGAAUUUGCUAUAUUAAAGAAUCAGAAAUUAGAUUUGUUUGCUGAAUCGCGUUUACAAUUGAUAUUAAAGUUCUUGUUUGUGUUUUGAGAAAGUAAAAUCUGAAUUGUUGUUGAUAUAAGGCUGCUGUAGUGUUAGUUGUGUUUGAUCGACGUAGGGUGCAGCGACUUAUGCUAGUUGUUGAAGGAAUCGAAAAAGAGAAAUUGUGGCUCUUGUUAGUGGUAUUUCUUAUGAACACUUGAAGAACUUGCAACAAGGUUUUGAGCAAAUGUGUUAAAAGGUAAUCGUUUG